rnacentral:ncRNA from 1 species
CACGUGGACUGUUACAUAAAACCGUAGUAGACACUAUUACAGUUUCGAGACGGGACAGGAAGAAACGUGAA